rnacentral:tRNA from 1 species
GCCUGCUUAGCUCAGAGGUUAGAGAAUCACACUUGUAAUGCGAUGGUCAUCGGUUCGAUCUUGAUAGAUGGCU